GCCAUUUAAAGUGCAGAUGAAUCAACGGAUCAAUCCGUCGAUUCAUAGAAGAAUAUUUGUAUAUUCGUAUUUGUUGAUCCAUUAACCUUGACGAAUAAUGGAUCAAAAUGAAUUGCCAUUUUUUUAUUUGCCCCCAUCUCUAGUACUGACCUAUCAGGCUGGUCUGUGCUUGAAUAAGGGCACACAGCUUGAUGCCUGACCUGCCUUGUGUCUUUUGGGUGACAUUCUAACCCACUUUUUGUCCAGGUCCAUGAUGGUAUUUGUGUGUUUCCGGAUCUCUGCUGGAAACAGUCCUUAAAAUUUGGAAAAUGCAAAUUACAAGGCCAGGUUCUAGCAAAUGAUGCAACUGCACCAGGUCUCAAGAGUUGUGAAGGGCCCUGAAAUGCAAAUAGUCCCCACCCACAACUGGCUGUUGUGCCUUCCACCCAGCCUGUGAGAAAGCACAUCAGACUCCACAGGAGAACAGGGGCAGAACAGGGAUAGAACUAGACAUCACCACUCUGUGUCCCCCCUUUCACUAGGCAGAAUGGGGUUGGCCAUACUGGGUAAUUAAUCCUUGGUGUCAUAUGGACUCCAUAUAUUUUACUGUCUGAGAGGAGAAGCAAGGAUUGUGUGAUUUUUGUUGGAUCAGGUGCUGCUCUCUCUCUCUCUCUGUGUGUGUGUGUGUGUAUGUAUGUGUGUGUGUUUUGACCUGUUCCUAUACUGGAGCAACAUUAAAAACAAAACAAAACAAAAACACAAGAGAGAAAAAUGUGAAAUCGCUGGGGAUUAGAUCAUAAAUAUGCAAAGAACCCAUCCUGAGAAACGGAAGUGUCCAAAGCAGCAUACAGCAUGUCAAAUGAAGCCAACCAGAUGGAGAUUGUUCAGCUCCUUGAUGUCAGUCUGCACUAGCAUCUUUCCAGCACUCUCUGCAACCAGCAGCUUUGUCAGGCUAAAAGGAGGUGGAACUGGGCAAAACAGGUAGGAAAGGCUCAAUCCUUCAUCAUUGCUUUUACUUGUCUGUGAAAUUCCCAUGAAAAAGAAGCAAACCCAGAAAAUAACAUUGUGAUGAGACAGACAGGAGCAAUGUGGCUUGUUUAAAUUUAUUUAUCUAUUUAUUUAUUUGUUUGUUUGUUUGUUUAACUUAUAUGCCGCCCACACUACCCAAAGGUCUCUGGGCGGCUUACAACAAUUUACAUACAGCAAAAAGAUGAAAAAUUUCCACACUACCCAAAGAUUGAAAAUACAAUGUUCUAAAAAUUGCCAUCAGG
rnacentral:lncRNA from 1 species